GUGCUUCCUGGGAGCGGGGGGGGGGGGGGAUAAACACCAUUCUUGGGAUACCACGAGCCAUGGCACUCCAGAUUGCUACCCUGUGAUUUCCUCCAAUGUGGGAAACUUGAAAACAUAGUUUGUGACAGUAGGGGACUGUGUUUGCAGAUUCCCUCA